UGGUUUGAGUGAUGGUAUUGUAACAAGAUGGACAAUUCGUCCUCUGGCCUCUACACCUGCAACAUUUCUUUUGCUCAUUUGGCCUGUAAGGUGGAUUUUGUACAGGGUAAAGUAUUGUACGUCGUGACAUUAGGUAUUGUGCUGACAUCUAUGGACAGGUAUAUAUAAUAUUACAACCUAAUUUAACAUUUGUCCACCCUGAGUAGUGUGCGUUAGUGUCUUUUUUUGGUGUGAAGUUUACUGUCUACAGUGCAUUGAAAAUUGUGACUAUUUAAAGUUUUUUCAAGAAGUUUCUUGUAUGAGAAUGUUUUCAUACAGUGUACAGUUCAAGGCAUGGGAGAAUGCCAUGAAGCAAGUUAGGUAGAAUAAGACAAAAAGUAGAUGCUGUGGCGAUAGAACGAGCCACACAAGACGUCAAGAACAAAAGGACAGCAGCAUGUGAUUUUGGAAUUUCAAGAACUACACUAAGCCAUUAUUUGAUGAAAUUCCAAGACCAUGAAAACUCUUUUGAGUACACAGCCAGAAAUGAUGUUAAAAAAGGUUUUAGUGCCACACAGGAACUUGAAUUGCCUGAGUAUUUAAAAGAAGCUGCAAGCAUUAUGGUUUCAUGAAUAAGGAAGCUCUCAAACUUGCUUUUCAACAUGGAAUAGCAAAUGGUGUAGUGCCAGAGAAUUGGGAAAACAAUGAAUCUGCUGGUAAUAUGGGGCUGAGGGGACUGAGGAAACAUCACAAGUCCUUGACUUUGAGAAAAACCCAAGGAUACUAGUCUCACUCAAGCUACAAGUUUUAAUCAUGAGAAUGUAAAAGCAUUUUUUGAAAAUUUAAAUGAACUUUUGUCAAGACACAAGUUCACUGCUAAUAAAAUCUAUAAUUUAGAUGAGACUGGCAAUUCUACUGUUCAUGUUCCCCCCCAAAAUUAUUUGUGCCAAGAGAAUCAAGCAACUGGGGAGUGUGACUUAGGGGAGAGGAGGAUAAAUGUUACAAUGAUUGUUGCUGUCAGUGCAAUUGGUAACCAUGUUCCUUCAAUGUAAAUAUUCCCAAGAGUGCAUUUCAAGGAUCACAUAUUAACUGGUGCUCCUACAGCUUCUAUUGAAAGUGCAAACCAAGCGGGUUGAUCAAAUGAGAAUCUCUUCGUUGACUAUGUGAAGAAUUUUUUUUCACAUGACAAACUUUGUAAGGAAGAUCCAACUUUAUUGGUUUUAGGUAAACAUGAGAUCCACAUAUCAAUUGGAGCUAUCAGUGUGGCAAAAGAAAAUGGGAUUGUCAUGCUGUCUUUGGUCCAUAAAACAUAUUACAAUCCUUGCCUUAAUGACUGGAUGUUCUCAAACCCAAGCAAACCUGUAACCAUUUACAAUGUCAUUUGGUAAGACAUUCACCAAAUGCAAUAUUGAAAAAGGGUUUAAUGUAACUGGGAUUCAUCCCUUAAGUGAAAGCAUUUUUGGUGAAGACGAAUUUAUGUCCUAUUUCACUGACAGACCCUACAGUCAGGUGACAGAAUCACACACUAUGGGGGUACAAGACAUAUGUCAACAGCGCACCAGAAGAGAUUACCCGAUUAUUAUAUUGAUUACUGAUUUGCACUUGCAGGCAUUUCAGGAUUAUUAAUACUGUAUCGUGUAUCUGUAACUUAUAAAUUGUAUCUAUAUUUAGUAAAUUCCUUUGCCUCUA